AAUGAACGCUGGCGGCAUGCCUAACACAUGCAAGUCGAACGAGAGCAUCGGGUCUAGUGGCGCAUGGGUGCGUAACGCGGGGGAACCUGCCCUUAGGUUUGGAAUAACUCCCCGAAAGGGGUGCUAAUACCGGAUAAUGUCUUCGAACCAAAGAUUUAUCGCCUUUGGAUGGGCCCGCGUUGGAUUCGCUUGUUGGGAGGGUAAAAGCCUACCAGGGCGACGUUCGAUAGCUGGGCUGAGAGGCAGAGCAGCGACACUGGGGCUAGGCAGCGGCCCGGACUCCUGCGCGAUGCGCCAGAGCCUGAUCUAGCAAAACCGCGUGAAUCAUGAAGGACCUCUGACUCGUAAGCGCUGUAGGCCUGAGGGAAGUACAGCUCGUUUACCCCGGAUGAUUAUGACGGUACCGAGAGAAUAAGCUCCGGCUAACUUCGUG
rnacentral:rRNA from 1 species